GAGCCUGAGCGCCCGAGCGAGCAUGCGCUGUGGGAGGUGGUUGGCCUCAGUGCGCAUGCGAGUUCGGGGAAGGGGCGGGAGGGCGAUGCGGCUCGGCCUCAGUGCGCGUGUGCACGCCGAGAAGCGGGAGAGAGGGCGGCUCUGGAGAUUUCAGAUAUGGAAAAUGAGAAGGAUCUUACUGAAGGCUCUAUAGCCAGGAAGUAGCAGAGUCUGGAUUCAAACCCAAGCCGGUCUCACUCCAGGGCGAGCCCACAUUUUUUUCCCUGGCACCGGGCAGCCUGCCUAGUGCUGAGGAAACUGAGGCCUGGAGCAGUUAAUUGACACACCCAAGGCAGCAGCUAGAACAGAGCCCAGGAAGUAGUAGGUGCUUACCAAAUAUUUGUGGAAUUGAUGAAUGCCUGACUUCAAAACCCACACAGCCCUCUCACUGCCUUCUGAAACCAGGAUUCACAGCUUCAUCCUUGAGUGUGUGUGAGCUUUCUAUGAGCAUUCUUCAAUUCUGUGUUUUUGGCUCGAUCAUCUUUGGAAAUAAUCACCUGCCAAUUCUGGCAGAUCUAGGCCACCACCUCCUCACUGAGACCUGCCAUGCAGUGUAGGAGCCUGUACCUGUGAUUGUUUACCAUGGCGUUGGUGCCAAGGGCCACUGUUUAAAUUAUUGCAGACUAAUGAGAAAAGGCAAAGGCUGCAGAUAAGCAAAAGACGCUGUCAUCAAGCCAGGGGGUGUGACAUCCCCAUCCCUGAGCACUGGUGCAAUCAAGUGGUCCCAGCCGGAAGUACGCAAGCUGAGUCGCUUGGCCAGGCAGGUAAAGCACCACGGCCCUGGGUCCCCUCUUCACAACAGCAGCAGAGACCGAGUUUUACUGAAACAGUGUCACCCUUCCCCACAGCAGUCUUGUUAAUUUGCAUUUUAUUGGUUUUCCAUGUAUGUUUGAACUUGGUUUGUAAAUUUGCUUUGGUUUUAUUAUUGUAUAAGUCAGAGUUAGAAGGAAUUUUAUAUCCGUCUGCAUGUAAGUAUCUCGACAAUAAAAAUAAUUUAAAGCCAAACACUGGAGUUCUCUGUGCAGUUUCUUUUUUUUAGUGUAAAAGAGAUCUGUCUGUACCUUAACGAGUUUGAGAAACCGUGUUGCAUCAUUCAUUUAUUCAACUUCAAACCUAUAAUGAGUGCCCACGUUUGCCAGGCCCUGGCCAAUGUUCCCUGUUCCAGGGCCAGAUUUUCAUACCUGAGGCCCAGCCUCCCUCCUCUCUCAGACCCGCUCCCACGGAUUC